UACGUAGGUGGCAAGCGUUGUCCGGAUUUACUGGGUGUAAAGGGAGCGUAGACGGCGAGACAAGUCUGGAGUGAAAGGCCGGGGCCCAACCCCGGGACUGCUCUGGAAACUGCCUGGCUGGAGUACAGGAGAGGUAAGUGGAAUUCCUAGUGUAGCGGUGAAAUGCGUAGAUAUUAGGAGGAAUACCAGUGGCGAAGGCGGCUUACUGGACUGUAACUGACGUUGAGGCUCGAAAGCGUGGGGAGCAAACAGG
rnacentral:rRNA from 1 species